rnacentral:rRNA from 1 species
AUUGAAGGAAUUAAGGGCAUACAGUGGAUGCCUUGGCACUA